UACGGGGGGAGCAAGCGUUGUUCGGAUUUACUGGGCGUAAAGGGCGCGUAGGCGGCCACUGCAAGUCAGUUGUGAAAUCUCCGGGCUUAACCCGGAAAGGUCAACUGAUACUGCAGGGCUAGAGUGCAGAAGGGGCAACUGGAAUUCUCGGUGUAGCGGUGAAAUGCGUAGAUAUCGAGAGGAACACCUGCGGCGAAGGCGGGUUGCUGGGCUGACACGUGACGCUGAGGCGCGAAAGCCAGGGGAGCGAACGGG
rnacentral:rRNA from 1 species